UGCCCUGAAAGUAAUGACUCCUAUUUAUUUCCAUGGAAACUACUGAUGUGCGGAAUCAAACUCUAUAGCCCACGUGAGGUUAUAAAGCAGCUAUGUUUAUUACAGCGCCGGGUGCGAGGGCGUAUCUCCUUCUAACUCGCACACCGAGAAGAGCAGUGGUUACAUACUUAUUAAAGACAUAACACAUACAUAUUCUUUACAGUCCAAGGAAAUGGGCCGUAAUUCUGAGAAAUUACAACUUGUGGUCUCACCUCCUAGAGCAUGCGCCCUAAAAAUGUGGUGGUUGUUGGAUGAAAGCUAACAGUCUUCUAUUAAAAAAGGACGUGCCUGGCCCAGAGCAUCUCUGGAGACCCUGUCCCGCUGUGGCUCAUGGACCUUCCCUGUUUUACAGGUGCCGAGAGUCAGUUGGCUGGGCACAGGAGCCCCCAGUGCGAGCCACGGUGCCCCUGCAGUGAGGCUGACCAGGAGCUCCAGCAGCUGGUUCUGUCAGGGUUGCCUGAGCGCAGGCCUGUGCUGGGUUCUGGCUUCCUGCAGGCGGCCUGGAGGGACCUGGAGGAGCUGGCGGAGUGGAACAGCCUGUCAUGCCAGUACUGCAGCUCCCCUGAGGUCCAGAGCUGUCCCGGGAAAGGCAAGGUCGAGUCCUUGAACGUGCCCAGCACAGUCUGCUCCCCUGGAGCUGCAUGGAGCGCUGAAACCCACGCAGACCUCAAGAUGCAUGUGGCCCGGAAAAGCCUGGAAGUGCAACUGGGGAGCCUGCCCCAAAAGCUCUUGCUCUCCCAGCAGCAGGCUUGGGGAAAACAAUGCCGCCGCAUCCUGCCCAAGCUUAUCAAGCCAGGGCAGACCCAGCCUCUGCUGCGGCGAAGCCUGUGCCCCUCGCUGCAGGCCAAGGCUGACUGCAUCACAGACAACAUUCUCAAGAAGCAAGAGAUAAGAAAGUGGGGCGAACCCAACCCUGCGGAGUUCUCCAUGAACCGGCUGGUGCCAUGUCCCCCUGGUCUUCUGCUUCCCCGGAAUGUGGGUCUAACCGGGAAGGUCAUCCGGCGGAAAGCUCAUUUCCAGGGCCAGGCUGAGCAGCAGGGGCAUCCCAGGAAGGAGCAGCAGUGCCGCCCCAAGGAGUCGGCAAAGAUUCCUUUGCCUCCGAGCCACAAGCAAGAACGUCCCACGGUUACCGCAGCGCUUCCU
rnacentral:lncRNA from 1 species